ensembl:lncRNA
UUAAGGGUCACGGACGCUCUCCAUCAGGCCGCCGACAGACAGAGGGACAGACAGACAGAGGGACAGACAGGCAGAGGGACGGACAGAGGGACAGACAGGCGAGGGACAGACGAGAGAGACAGACAGACAGAGGGACGGACGGACAGACAGACAGACAGACAGACAGACAGAGGGACGGACAGAGGGACAGACAGAGGGACAGACAGAGGGACGGACGGACAGACAGAGGGACAGACAGACAGAGGGACAGACAGAGAGACAGAGGGACAGACAGACAGAGGGACGGACAGACAGAGGGACAGACAGAGAGACAGAGGGACGGACAGUUUUACCCUGUUAAAGAGGGUUUGUUGUGGCUUAUUCGUUGUUGUUCUCACAGUGACUCAAACACACGUAAGACAAGAAGCUCCGUGAUGACGUGUACAAAUAAAUUAUGACGUAACACCGCCGUGAACGCCACGGGACAAAUUCCUCCCGUGCGUAAGUCCGAUAUCCCGCCAGCCGCACGGAGCCCCUGAGCUGGAGGACACACUGUGGGACACACUAUGGGACACACUGUGGGACACACUGUGGGACACACUGUGGGACACAUUGUGGGACACACUCGAUUGCUCUCGUCCAGAGACACGGAGAUGUGAGUGUGGUGUAAACUGGGACCUGCAAGGGUCAGAGGUCAAAGUGAAGAAUAUGUAACAAUAACAAUUUCUUUUACACCCUUAAACAAAUGAUUAAAAAUACAUAUCUGAGAGUCGUCCCUGAUGCAGGAAGUGUGGAAAUGAUAUUAAUAAUAUUUAGUUUUUCUAUAGUAGUUUUAGGGGGGGGGGGGGGGGGGCGUUUUAAAAUCAAAGUCUUGUUGCUGAUCAUUGACAUUUUAUUGACUGUGAACAAAAUGAUCAAUGUAAUUAUGUGAGCAAACUGACAUUUAAAGGGAUUCAAAUAUGAAGUGUAAUGAAUAUUUCAAAGUUAUGAUUGACUGAAGAUAAAAAUACAGUAUGAUAUUUCUAGUUUUGACAUUUAAAAAACCCUUUUCCCUAAAAAAAAAAAAGUGCAAUCUUUGAAACAAUGUGAAAUUGUCAAAGUGGUAAAAAUAUUAGAGAAUAUUUAAGUGUUAUUUCAUGUUAAGUGAGUAAGUGAGUAGGAAGUUAGAGUUCAUUGAAGAUUUUUAGUUUAGAGUCCCGCAACGUUUGAGACAAAAAAUGGCCGCUCGACUGCUGCAGUCAUCCAUUGGAGCCGUCGGCAACUUGACCAGGGAGCGCCCCC